UGGGGCUGCGCCUAUGGGUUGCAAGGCUGACAGUUUCCUAGGCGUCACCCCAAGCCGUUUCCAGGCCUUUCCUCCGCACCAAAGUGCGACAUUGGCCCUGGAAAUCCCCCGGGCAAGAGAGGGUUGUAAAUUCAGCUUCCUUAACAUCACAGAUUAGAAUGUUCUAUACCACGGCACCUGCAUAAAUAAAGGCUUUUAGAUGCCA